rnacentral:rRNA from 1 species
GUGUCAGCCGCCGCGGUAAGACAGAGGGUGCAAACGUUGUUCGGAAUCACUGGGCGUAAAGCGCGUGUAGGCUGUUUGGCAAGUCGGAUGUGAAAUCCCACGGCUCAACCAUGGAAGUGCAUUCGAAACUGCCAAACUAGAGUUCUGGAGAGGAAGGCGGAAUACUCGGUGUAGAGGUGAAAUUCGUAGAUAUCGAGUGGAACACCGGUGGCGAAGGCGGCCUUCUGGACAGUGACUGACGCUGAAACGCGAAAGCGUGGGGAGCAAACAGGAUUAGAUACCCCGGUAGUCC